rnacentral:rRNA from 1 species
AGUGAACGCUGGCGGCGUGCUUAACACAUGCAAGUCGAACGCGAAAGGGUAGCAAUAUCCGAGUAGAGUGGCGAACGGGUGAGUAAAGUGUGGGUAAUUUGCCUUCCAGAGGGGGAUAACUCGGCGAAAGCUGAGCUAAAACCGCGUAACAUUUGAUUGAUUACGGUCGAUUAAAUCAAAACAUGGCCUCUAUUUAUAAGCUAUGGCUGGGAGAUGAGCCCACAUCCUAUCACGCUUGUUGGUGGGGUAACGGCCUACCAAGGCGACGACGGGUAGCCGGCCUGAGAGGGUGUCCGGCCACACUGGAACUGAGACACGGUCCAGACUCCUACGGGAGGCAGCAGUGGGGAAUUUUUCGCAAUGGGCGCAAGCCUGACGAAGCAACGCCGCGUGGAGGAUGACGGCCCUCGCGGUCUUAAACUCCUGUCUAGCGGGACGAAUGUUUCCAAGGUGAAUAAUCUUGGGAAGUGACUGUACCGCUGGAGGAAGCUCCGGCCAACUCCGUGC